UGUGUCUCUAAGUGCUCCGAGCUGAAGCACCGGUGCUGCUAAGAGGGUAAAUUGCAAGUGCAUGGCAGCAAUCAUCCCUGCCGCUUUCACAGGAACCGAGCACUCCCUCUUGAGCGAGCCUCCCAUGUUAAGCCCUGAAAGAGCAGCUUGACACCCUGUGACCUGGCUGGAAGUGAUGAAAACGGCAGCAGUAAUCCCUGUAGGAUGGGCCUUUUAAGGAUAAGAAGAAAUUCUGAAUGAUCAAAAGAAGCAGUUCUCAGUUCAGAAUGGUACCACCAGUAGUUCUGGUCAGUGCUGUAACCUGAUGAAGAGGCAAUGGCAUUUCACAAUGUGUACUCCAUUCACGUCUACCUGCUUAAAAUGAG